AACGAACGCUGGCGACAGGCUUAACACAUGCAAGUCGAGCGCCCCGCAAGGGGAGCGGCAGACGGGUGAGUAACGCGUGGGAACGUACCCUUCUCUACGGAAUAACACAGAGAAAUUUGUGCUAAUACCGUAUACGCCCUUUGGGGGAAAGAUUUAUCGGAGAAGGAUCGGCCCGCGUAGGAUUAGCUAGUUGGUGUGGUAACGGCGCACCAAGGCGACGAUCCUUAGCUGGUCUGAGAGGAUGACCAGCCACACUGGGACUGAGACACGGCCCAGACUCCUACGGGAGGCAGCAGUGGGGAAUAUUGGACAAUGGGCGCAAGCCUGAUCCAGCCAUGCCGCGUGAGUGAUGAAGGCCUUAGGGUUGUAAAGCCCUUUCACCCACGACGAUAAUGACGGUAGUGGGAGAAGAAGCCCCGGCUAACUUCGUGCCAGCCGCCGCCGUAACAC
rnacentral:rRNA from 1 species